rnacentral:misc_RNA from 1 species
AUAUUUAGUUGUGCGUGAUAGCCUAUUUUUUUACAAGGAAGGAGGGAAAAGGAUGAAAAAGGCUUAUAAGAAACCUCGUCUUUUUGAACUGCGCCGUGCUGUAGCAGCUGGCGGCCAUUAAUCUCAUAUAGCAUUUGACAUCUAGUACUCUAUUUUAGGAGGGAUGCUCAAUGAAAAAAGCUUAUAAGAAACCUCGCCUUUUUGAACUGCGCCGUGCUGUAGCAGCUGGCGGCCAUUAAUCUCAUAUAGCAUUUGACAUCUAGUACUCUAUUUUAGGAGGGAUGCUCAAUGAAAAAAGCUUAUAAGAAACCUCGCCUUUUUGAAUUGCGCCGCGCUGUAGCAGCUGGCGGUCAUUAAUCUUAUCCAAAACGAUUAACGUUUGAGGCUAUCACGCCAACUUGAUAAGGAGGAUG